rnacentral:miRNA from 1 species
ACAUACUCGACAUGCAAUUAAAUU